GAUGAAGAACGCAGCGAAAUGCGAUACUUGGUGUGAAUUGCAGAAUCCCGUGAACCAUCGAGUCUUUGAACGCAAGUUGCGCCAGAAGCCAUUAGGCCGAGGGCACGCCUGCCUGGGCGUCACACGUCGUUGCCCCCCCAUCUACUCCUUCGGGAUUGCGGGGGGCGGAUGAUGGCCUCUCGUGCGCCUCGUCGCGCGGUUGGCCUAAAUGCCAAGUCCUCGGCGACGCACGCCACGACAAUCGGUGGUUGCGAAACCUCGGUUGCCUGUCGUGUGCGGUCGUCGCGCAUCGAGGGCUCGAAAAAAUUGCCGGGCUUCGGCUCGACUUUCAACGCGACCCCAGGUCAGGCGGGGUUACCCGCUGAAUUUAAGCAUAUCAAUAAGCGGAGGA
rnacentral:misc_RNA from 1 species